GAUGAACGCUGGCGGCGUGCCUAAUACAUGCAAGUCGAGCGAACAGAUAAGGAGCUUGCUCCUUUGACGUUAGCGGCGGACGGGUGAGUAACACGUGGGUAACCUACCUAUAAGACUGGGAUAACUUCGGGAAACCGGAGCUAAUACCGGAUAACAUUUGGAACCGCAUGGUUCUAAAGUGAAAGAUGGUUUUGCUAUCACUUAUAGAUGGACCCUCGUCGUAUUAGCUAGUUGGUAAGGUAACGGCUUACCAAGGCGACGAUACGUAGCCGACCUGAGAGGGUGAUCGGCCACACUGGAACUGAGACACGGUCCAGACUCCUACGGGAGGCAGCAGUAGGGAAUCUUCCGCAAUAGGCGAAAGCCUGACGGAGCAACGCCGCGUGAGUGAUGAAGGGUUUCGGCUCGUAAAACUCUGUUAUUAGGGAAGAACAAAUGUGUAAGUAACUGUGCACGUCUUGACGGUACCUAAUCAGAAAGCCACGGCUAACUACGUG
rnacentral:rRNA from 1 species